GGGGGCAUAGCUCAGUGGUAAAGCACAUGCUUGACAUGCACAAGGUCCUGGGUUCAAUUCCCAGGGCCUCUG